CUCCCAUUGCCGCCAGCACCAAUUGCCAGGUUCGCAGAGCUUGAAGUUCAUUUAGUUCACGUAAAUGAUUCGUACAGAAAGAACGAGUUGUUCGAGAACGAGCAUUUACUCUAUAACAAAGAACUGGCUACCAUUCUAAGCCUUGACUAGAACUAGCUAGACAGCCGUUACCAAGCUAUUUCCUCUCCGUAAUUAGCUAGCGAGUAUCCAGAGGAUGACCAACAUUUACUGAGACAAACCAUCCGUACUGCCAGACAUUGCAGUUGUGCACAUCCUCCCCUCUAACAGAUGCCUACAGGAAUUUGUCGUUUUCAAACAUAUCCUCUCCGGAUUUGAAACUCUGGAGGCAGGUUUGAGUGUGUCUUUUCUUGAAAACGCAGACUUGCAUACACAUCUUCCCAGCCUUCCCCUGAGUCCUGAAGGUUACACCACGGCCAUGUUUCGACUCUUGGCUGUGCGAAGUUGCUCCAAGCCAGCCAGGCAGCUCCAUAGUUGGCUAGCAAACCAGGACCAGGUACUUGAGCUGCUUCGUGUGUGCUCUGUUGAGGACCAGGUGUUUGAUGUGGUCAGCAAGAACAAGACUAAGCUGUCGAUCAGUCAUGUGGCAUAUGCUCUGGACUUGUUGUGGAAGUUCCAAAAGGAGAAGCCUCAGAUACUGCGUACAGUGGAGUUCAUCAGGAGUCACCCACAGUUCAUCACUCUCCGUGUGCUGGCUGAAAACAAGAUUACUCUCAUGGAUGACAUGACUGUAGUGGACGUGCUCUACAAUGUCCUUCGGCUCAAUGUUGAACCUCACGACACUCUUGUCCAGCAGCUAGUCGCUGAGGCAUGGCUUAGGUUACACAGCCUCCAGAUGCCAGCACUGUCUAAGUUUGCCAUUUGCUUAAAUGAUCAGCAUCUUCAGCACAGUCCACUUAUGGGCCAGAUCACAGAGAUUUUAAGUCAAAAAGUUGACACCAUACAAGAUGUGAGGGUCCUUUCCACCUUGAUGAUAAGUGUGUCUGCUCUGGUGUCACCACGACUGCGUGAUGCCCUUGUCAAGAGGGCAGACACCCUCCUUGAUGCUUCGGGCUCCUCUCAAUUCAACAGCCCCAGGAGGGUGGUCCAGUUCCUACGCAACGUCAAGCACAUUUGCCGCCCACUGCUGGAGAAGUGCAAUUCCAUUUUUCUGCACAAUGUGUCCCAUCUGGAUGCUGAGAACAUCAGUAUCAUUCUAGGGCUGUACCAGUCCCUGCAGUUUAACAACUCUGACUUCCGCUUGGCCGCCAAGCAGAGGCUGAUUAAGCUGGUAGACUGCUGCACCGAUCCAGUGUCCUUCACCAAGCUCUUUGCUGCUCUUGGACCAAUGGCUAAACAGGAGGCCAGAGAGGGCUUGGAGAGUGCUGCGCUGUUAUUAGCUGAUAAGCUGAAUGGCCAGCAGGUCCUUGCUGUAGCAGAGACUCUGGAGGAGCUUCAGAGUAAGAACCUGCAGCUGAUCAAUAAGAUUGGGUCAAUAAUCUUUAAGAACCUGGACAUGUACACGCCUAUGGAGGUAGCCAGGAUCACACAGGCCCUGAUUUGUUUGCACUACCAGAAUCCAGAGAUGUUCACCAAGCUGAGGAACAUAAUGAUGUGUCACCUGCAGGUCAGCGUCUUCCCCUAUGAAGUGACUACGCUGAUACGGGUUCUGUCUCUGUUGCCCUGCUCGCGGCUAGAUGAGACUGUUAUAUCACGGGUGGAUGCUGUGCUGUCCCAAUGCAACCUGAGUGACCUCAACACUUUCACAAUGGCUAUCGCCAAGUGGAUGCGCAACGACCCCUCUUGCCGCUACAGCAUGCCCAGUGUGUAUGUCCGACUGCUUCAGACUCUAAAUUGUUGUGGGCUGGAGCGUCUGCGUAAGGCCGACCACCUGGACCUCUUGCUGGAGGAGCUGAAGUACAUGUCGGGGGAGUGGUUUGAGGAGAUGCUGCUGGAGGAAACUAUGGCUGCCCUCCAAAGGCUACUCUGGCAGGUCUCCUGGACCAAUGUGCCUGAGCUGACCCUCUUUUUGACCAAGACCAACUACUUGUGCAUGCCAGUCCUGGACCACAUCGCUGCUGUUGUCAUGGAGAACAUCCACAAGAUGCACUAUUCAGCAACAUAUGCCACCCUGCUCCCCUUCACAAUGCUGAACUAUGAUCCCCCAAGUGGAGAUGAGUUCUUCAAUACAUGCAUUCAACACUUCUCUCCUCACCUGAGCUCCUUCGACCCCCACCUGCUGGUGCUGCUGGCCUAUUCCCUGGCUGUGGCUAACUGUUUCCCUGAGGCAUUGAUCCGUGAAAUUUUCAGUGUGGAUUUCCUGACAAAGCUAGACUGCCAGUUAGAGACCCUGCCAGAUGCGCUGAACAUGCGAAUACGUUUGCGCCUGAUGGAGCUGAACAGGGCUGUGUGUCUGGAGUGCCCUGAGUUCCAGGUUCCCUGGUUCCAUGAACGCUACUGCCAGCAGCUGCAGCGAAAAGGCACCAUUUCCAUUAGUCCCGUUCAACAACAGAUCCACAAAAUGCUGGGAGAGCUUCUUGGAGGAAUGAACUAUGUCAGAAUGGCUGUGCUUACUCCUUAUUUCUACACAGUAGACUUUGAGUGUGUGCUGGACAGACACCAGUGGCCAGUUCCAUAUGUGGAACCAAACGAUCUGCAUAUCAUGGAGGAGUGGAAGGUCCAGUGGGAGUCUGACUCUCUGGUGAAGAAGUGUGAACUGUCACUGGGGGCACAAUGGCCUUCACUGCAGCUGCUUUCAGCUGAUCUUCAGUCUCCUCUUCAGAAAGUCAAGAGGAGUGCAUGCUCAGUUGGAUUUCAAUCAGCAUUGCUGUGGACUUCUUGGAUUCCAAAUCCUUCUGCAAGAACUCACAUCAUGUAAAGGGAGAAGUAAUGAUGAGGAAGAGGCAUCUGGAGAUCCUGGGAUACUCUGUUAUACAAGUUCCUCAUUUUGAAUGGAAUUCAAUGGAGCUCUCCACCAAGGAUGCCUGGAAGGAUUACUUGAGAAAGAAGAUUUUUACAGAGCUGUCCUAAUGUGUAUAUCAACUCAACAAAAAUCGAAUUCAGUAACAAUUAUGAAAGUGAAUCCUGGCAUCCCUGUGGUGAAUCAUUAUCAUUUUUGUGUAUUCUUUGCAAUGGAUGACAGAGGUGACUUAGUUUCUAAAAUAUUGAUUCUGACAAUAUCUGUAGUUUUUUCUCUGCAAAUAAAAUAUUUGUCAUAAAAUACUCUCUUGUUAUUUUCAACCACAAGGAUAACAAACAUGUAUUGUUAAAUAUUCCAGAAGUCACGUGGCUAUUCUGUUGAGAACACAAUGCAGUUUACAAAUGUUUGUCUAUUUUUAAAAAAUGCAUUAUGAUCCAGUUUCUCAGAGAUUGAUUAAGCCUAGUCCUAAAGUAUUUUAGUUAAACACAAGUUUAAGUUUGUUAAAAUAAAGCAUGAGAAAUAGCAUUUUCUGAAGCACCGGGAUGUAAAAACUGUGCAUAAUAGCUGUGCAUAAAAAUGUCAGACUCUUGUAAUAAUCUGCCUACAAUGUAAUAAGUGUUGAGCGCAUAAUGUAGGCCUAAUAACUUUAGCGUGUUAUACACUGUUAUUACAUUAUAGGCUCUAUUUUCCGGCCAUGGCGUGUUGAGAGCCGUCAAAAUGGUGUUCCCUUUGGUAAUUUCAUGACUUGCACUGCGCCGUAGUGGGAGGGGUGACCUUCUGAGGAUAUGUCAGUCUAUGUUGCAGUGCAAUGCAAUUUGUGUCAUUUUCCGCCUGCCAGCUCAGACCACAUUUAUGGCGUAAACCUAUUCAAAAGGCUAUCAAUGGUUUUCAUGGAUCAUAUGCGGUCUAAUUUGACAUUCAUAUAAAUCCCAGAAGCAGAAAAAAAUACUUUGCAUUUAUUGCUCAUUGUCUCUUUUUUGAUUAUUUUAAUUCCUGUAUUUAUUUCUAUUUUUAAUUGUGUAUGGCUAUUCUUCAGCCUGCAUUGUGGUCCUUGGGGUACUGUGUCAUUCUUUUUCUUACACCCAUCUGUAAUGAGAAGAAUGAACUUGAACAAUCUUUUCAUUUUGAUUGACUGUAGUUAAAAUGAUAGCUACAGCAUUGGCACAAAUUAUGGAUAGAUUGCCUUUAUAAACAGUUUGAUGAUUAAUGCAGUAUUUUGUAGCAAUUGCUUUUUUGGAUAAUAAAUAUAAAAUAUAAUGAACAUAAUAUGAACAUAAAAUGAAAAUGUAGAAAUAAUUAGCCUUUCAGUUAAACAAGUAAUGAUCAUUAUGAAUUAUUGUAUGUAUUAGUUCAUACCAACAUAAUUGAGCUGUUUGUAAAAUUUCUACCAGUAAGAUUUGUUAAUCAGCUUGAACAUGUAUUGCUUUGUCCAGUAGUUUUCUACAUAAAAUGCUAAUAUUCACAUAAAGAGAAAAAAAUUAACAUUUUUUGGCUUGUAUACUUUAUUUCAAAUUACUGAUCACAGAAUGUCAUUAACGCAUGUGGUCAAGAAGAAAUUUUGAACUGGGGAGAACCAGCAAAAUUGUGACAAUUUUCACUUUUUACUCAAUUACUUUCAAGUAGUUCACUCAAUAGCUGUGAAAUUGCACUACAAAGAGUGUGCACUUGUCAGCUACAAGAAGUCACAUUAACUUAGAUGUGAUCACAAAUGGUUUGUAUACAAUUUAAACAAAUGUUUAACGUCCGAUGUUACAAUCGUAACGUGCAGGACAGUUGAAAUACAGGUGCAGCAUAGUAACAAUGAAAAAUAACUAAAUAAAUCGUUCAUAUCUGCAAUAUAUACUGGACAAAACACUGUUGGUUGAAAAGAUCAUACUGUGCAUGGGUUUUUAAACCAGCAACCAAUUUUUUUCAUUUAUUGCCAAAAACGGUAUGUAUGUGGGAUUAGGUGAUUUUUGGUUUUGCUAUGUUAUAUAUACUGUACUCUUAUUUUGUCUAUGUAGUCAUGUCAGUAGGGAAGAGUGAAUAAACCUUUUUCAACAAA